rnacentral:lncRNA from 1 species
ACGAGGAGAAGCUGCCGUCCGGGUGGGAGAAGCGUAUGAGUCGCAGCUCAGGCUACAUCCAGAAGAUUAAGUCAGGAGAGGAGGACUUUGAAUCUCUGGCCUCACAGUUCAGUGACUGCAGCUCUGCCAAAGCCAGGGGAGACCUGGGUGCCUUCAGCAGAGGUCAGAUGCAGAAACCGUUCGAAGAUGCAUCGUUUGCUCUACGGACCGGGGAAAUGAGUGGGCCGGUGUUCACGGAUUCAGGCAUCCAUAUCAUCCUACGCACAGAAUGAGGGCAGGCACCUGGCCAGCCUGCUUGGGCUGCCACACAUACAGCCCAUGGACGCCCUUCCUGCUACUGUCACACAGUAUUUAUUGUUCCUAAAAUGACUGGGAGGGGGGCUCUGAGAAGGGGACUCUGAGCAUCCCGCUCCCUGUUUGCCCCCAUUUGGGGCUGUCCUAGCUAGGCUCCUUCUGGAGGAAUCGACUUCAGAAGGGCAGUGGAGGUGGGGAGGCCCCCAGGCUCAGGGGGUCAGAGGUGACCUGAUCCCCCGGUCUCAGAGGCAGGCAGGAGGGCCUUUUUCUUGUUAGUUGUAUGCUCAGUUCUUCUGUUCCGUUGCGAAAAGCAGACGCUCCAUACCUGGCGCUGCAGCAGCUCGGCCUCAGGGUGCGAAGCAGCGCACCGUGCACCUUCCAUUAAAUCUGGAACCGCUGCGUGGUGGUCCUGUGUCACUACCUUCCUGUGAGGUGUGGGGCCCUGUCUCAGGGAUGGCACUUUGCCCACCAUGCCCUAAGCCCGGGUGUCCAAACUGUUCUCCCGUUCUAAGAAGCCUUCCUUUCCACAGCCUGGGGUGCUGGCAAGAAUGCUUUCCACCAGCUCAACUCCCAGGGCAGCAAGCUACCUCCGAGCCCCACCAGUCCAGACCCAGUUGUGUAAGCCCCUGGGGAUUGUUGAGGUCUGCGCACACCACCCCAUCCCCCGCCCCGCCUCCAACUGUUAGGUCUGAAAGGCCCUGGGGGAGCCUGGCUCAGCAUCUGCCUUGGCACACCCCAGUGCCCACCUCCCCCCAGCACAAGGCAGACUGCUUAUUGGUGAGAACGAAUCAUAUCCAGCACCUGCCACCC